CCUACGGGAGGCAGCAGUGGGGAAUUUUGGACAAUGGGCGCAAGCCUGAUCCAGCAAUGCCGCGUGAGUGAAGAAGGCCUUCGGGUUGUAAAGCUCUUUUGUCAGGGAAGAAACGGUGGUUCCUAAUACGGACUACUAAUGACGGUACCUGAAGAAUAAGCACCGGCUAACUACGUGCCAGCAGCCGCGGUAAUACGUAGGGUGCAAGCGUUAAUCGGAAUUACUGGGCGUAAAGCGUGCGCAGGCGGUUAUAUAAGUCAGAUGUGAAAUCCCCGGGCUCAACCUGGGAACUGCAUUUGAGACUGUAUGGCUAGAGUGUGUCAGAGGGGGGUAGAAUUCCACGUGUAGCAGUGAAAUGCGUAGAUAUGUGGAGGAAUACCGAUGGCGAAGGCAGCCCCCUGGGAUAACACUGACGCUCAUGCACGAAAGCGUGGGGAGCAAACAGGAUUAGAUACCCUGGUAGUCCACGCCCUAAACGAUGUCUACUAGUUGUCGGGACUUAAUUGUCUUGGUAACGCAGCUAACGCGUGAAGUAGACCGCCUGGGGAGUCGGUCGCAAGNUUAAAACNCAAAGGAUUGACGGNNGAGAGNGCGACGACGACACGAGGGAGGAGG
rnacentral:rRNA from 1 species